rnacentral:rRNA from 1 species
AUGACAACUCGGAAACGGUGCAACCACGAGCAUCUCAUACAACACACAUGCAUUCGGUCCACGAACGUCGUCUCGGGGUUAUACCUUCGAAGCAUGCAUUUAGGGCGGAACGCGUUCGAAAUGGAAGUAGUUGUUUACGGGGUCAUCAUGGAAGUAGUCGUUCUCGCGACGGUACACGCGGAGGUAGUCGAACUUGACGGUUCCGUUACACGGGUCUUCGGCGACGAUAGUGGAAGUAGUGGCACACGUUCGUUUUCGGAGAGGUAUUUGACGGGUCCGAGGUCUUUGGGGCGACGGUAG